rnacentral:rRNA from 1 species
GACGAACGCUGGCGGCGUGCCUAAUACAUGCAAGUAGGACGAGUUGCGAACGGGAGAGUAAUGCGUGGUAAUCUGCCUAUUAGAGGGGGAUAACUAUUGGAAACGAUAGCUAAUACCGCAUACUAGUAGAUGGAUCUGCGUUGUAUUAGCUAGUAGGUAGGGUAAUGGCCUACCUAGGCGACGAUACAUAGCCGACCGUGGAGGAUGACCAGCCACACUGGAACUGGGACACGGUCCAGACUCCUACGGGAGGCAGCAGGGGGGAAUAUUGCACAAUGGGGGCAAGCCUGAUGCAGCCAUGCCGCGUGUAUGAAGAAGGCCUUCGGGUUGUAAAGUACUUUCAGCGAGGAGGCGUUACCCGCAGAAGAAGCACCGGCUUACUCCGGGCCAGCAGCCGCGGUAAUAC